rnacentral:rRNA from 1 species
AUUGAACGCUGGCGGCAGGCCUAACACAUGCAAGUCGAGCGGAUGAAGGGAGCUUGCUCCUGGAUUCAGCGGCGGACGGGUGAGUAAUGCCUAGGAAUCUGCCUGGUAGUGGGGGAUAACGUCCGGAAACGGGCGCUAAUACCGCAUACGUCCUGAGGGAGAAAGUGGGGGAUCUUCGGACCUCACGCUAUCAGAUGAGCCUAGGUCGGAUUAGCUAGUUGGUGGGGUAAAGGCCUACCAAGGCGACGAUCCGUAACUGGUCUGAGAGGAUGAUCAGUCAACUGGGAAAUGAAAACCGGGCAGAGCCCCUAGGGGAGGCAGAAAGGGGGAAUUUGGGAAAAGGGGCGAAAGCAUGAUCAAGCCAAGCCGGGUGGGUAAAAAAGUUCUUCGAAUUGGAAAGCCUUUUAAGUUGGGAGGAAGGGCAGUAAGUUAAUACCUGGUUUUUUUGGAGUACCCAAAAAAAAAAGAACCGGCUAACUUCGG